GUAUUUUAAUAAACAAUUAUAUUUCUUUUUUAGUCAUUUAAGGUAAUCAAUAAUUCUAUAUAUUGGUGUAACUUAGAGUCAUUUUAUUUCAUACACACACACUAUGGCAAAAACCACUGCUUCACUUGUUCUUGUUCUCUUUGUUGUGGUAAUUCUGAAUAACCAUAGUGCUGAGAGUAAUAUUCCAGAUUGUUCACAAUGGUAUAAACUGUGUCUUUUUGCUGAUCCUGAGAAUUGUCAUAAGAACUUUGAGAUUUGUUGGAGCAAAAAUUCCAAAUUCCCUAGGGAGAUUGAAAAUGGUAAAAAUCCUCCUAAAGCUAAAAGCCCUCCCUAAUCAGAGAUUGUUAUCAUGGUUUUUGUGUUUUUGAUAUCUAUUUUUCUUGUGCAAGUAUUAUGAUAUCACAAUUAUUUUUUUCUUUUACAAAAAGGAUAUAUUAUUAUUAUUAUUGUUGUUCUAUGGAUUUUGGUAUUAUUAUUCUUAACAUAUGGUUAUAUAUAACUAUUGUUUAGAUGAAUAGGAUUAGUACAUUUUUAAGUUAAUUAACUUUUUUAGACAAUUUAACUUAAUUAACUAUACAUGGAAUAAUAAAUGGAGGGAACCUAAACUCGUUUUCAAUAUAUACAAUUUCCAAUGUAUUGUUAUUACUAGAAGCAACAUGUUCAGUUCCACAAUUUUCAACAUGUGCCCAAUUAAACACUUCACAUUAUCCUUGGGUGACUAUUUGAGAAAAUUUAUAAAAUAUGCUUAUGACAUUUUUCAUAAGCUUUUUUCUACUAAUUUUCACAAGUUCUCCAAUAUAGCUUGUGAAAACUGAAAACAACUUAUAACAUAUACAAAAAUAAAUAAAUUGAAUUUCAACUUUUCCUAUAGAAAUAGCUUGUAGAAACUUAUACACAAGUGCUUAUCAUGCUAAGUGCUAUAAGCUACAAAUAAGUUGUUUAUCCAAACAUGGCCUAAAUACAAUCCAGAUGGAAAACUUAUGAAUCCUGCCUAUAUGGCUCCAAAAAUUGUAUGCAUUGUGAACAAACAUUUUUUAUUAUUUCUUUUGUUUCCUGCUGUAUUCUUUCCCAUCUAUGCUAUCAUCAUAUUACAACUGAACUAUAUGUGCUCCAUACAACACAACUGUAAGAACAAACAUCAAUUAAGGAAAAAAAAUCGAAGUCGGUAAAACACAACUAAAUUAACUACAAACUUAAGUACUUUUUUUUUACUAAACAAACUUUAGUACUUAACUACCAUAAAUGACAUACUUAAUUUUAUAAUUUGAUGUUCUUAAGUAUGUGCCAAUUAGAAUGGAUUUAAGUUAACUAAGCUUCAAAUCCAACUUAUAUAAGCUUCACACAUCAGUAUGACCAAAUUGACAUAAAAUCAAUUUAAUAUAUAAAGUAGCUUAGUUUCGAAUAAAACUAAUGAAAACUUGAUAGUAAAACAUGUAUACAGAUUUUUGCAGUUUAUGGUGCACUAUAUUUUUUAGCCUUUAGACAAUUACUUUUGGACUAUGAAGCACGAACAUCAGACAUGAAACAGACACAUUGACACCGAUAGUAAUUUGAUAAAAUGGCAAUUUAAUGUAAUCAAACACGCGUUACAAGGAGUGUCGAUGUUUUAUAGCUUUUGGACCCUGUAUCCUGUUUUAUUACUCCCCCUUUUCCAAACAUGUAUCAAGUUUGUGUUUCAUAGUGUGGCACACAUAGUCACAUAAGUCACGGUAUACCCUAAGAACCGCGAACCGGUUCACGUGAACCGGUUCACGGUACUUUUACUAUUCUGUUCACGCAAAUUCGGUACGGGGUACGUUAUUUUUAGAAAAAUUAAGGUACGGGUACGUCCCUAUAAUUUUUUUUUAAUAUAAUUAUAUAUAUCAAAUAAUAGAAUGAUAUUGUUAAAACAAAUAAUUAAACACAAAAAAUAUCACACCACACUUUAAAAGUAAUUUAAAUUGUUCGAAACAUCGAAAUAUGAAAUUAAAAAGCAAUUAGGUCAAAAAGAGUCAAUUAUUUCCCUCUCCAUCAUCACUGAAAAGAGCGACCUCUAGUUAGGUUCACCGAGAGAAAGACUAGCAAUUUCAAGAAUAUCAACUAUAUAUUAAAUAAAUCUCAUUCAUCUCUCCCAGAUUUUUGUUGCACUUUCAUUAUAAGUAUUAAUAUUUAUCUUUCUCGAGAGAAGACAAAGAUUGUUAUGAAUAAAAACUAGAUCUUCAUCUCUCUUUGAAUUGAGCCUAUUCUUUUUCAAUGAAUGAGUGAAUAAUUCCGGCGUCUAUUUUUUUAUUAUAUUUUAGCAAUAGUUGCUACUUCUAUAUUAUAAACAAAUAAAAAAACCUAAAUCUUCCUAUAAAAAAACUAAUAAUAAAAGAAAAAGCAGAAAAAAAAACUAUAUUUUUUUGGAUUGGUGUACCAUGCGUGUACCACAGGUGUACCACGCGCGUACCCAUUGCAAAAAAACAAAAAAAAAACUAGGUACAGCGUCGAAGAUAAACACUAGUGUAUUUUAUUUUGUAAAAUUUAUUUUUUUACUGAAGAUAUUAAUAUUUUUAUCAUCUAUUUUAUUUAUUUUAAUUAUAUUUUUUGCAUAGCGUACUAGUUACUAAAUUUAAGCGUACCACGAACCUAAAUAGCGUACUGACUAUAUAUACCCCCCACGUACAAAAUUCUUUGAGAGUGGCGUACCGCGUACCCGAACCCGUACCACGUACCGAAGCAAAUUGCGAAUCGUGCGACUAUGGUGCCACAUUUACGAACAUCUAAUAUUAUCAACAAUUUCAUGAAUCUUCACUACAAACCUCAUCUAAACAACUUUGCUUUGUGGUCAAGCAAACACAAACCUCAUCUCAGCACAAAUCUCAAUCAACUGUUGCAAGAAAUAAAAGGAAAAACAUAUUGUUAAAUAAAAACAUCAUUUGAUUAAAAAAUGGUAUGUAAUUAGUCAAAUACCAACUUAACAUUAUUUGUUUCCUAAACCCACUUGGGUUGGUGCAUUGGUAUUGGUUUGGGACUUGGGAGUGUGCUCCUCUUGAGGUCUGAGGUUCGAUUCUCUCUGGCGCCAAUUUGGGUAAGCUAAUUUAGCUUCUUAAAAAAAAAACAUUAUUUGUUUCCUAUAAAUUAUUUACAAACUAAGAUGUUUUAAAAUAUGUACAUUUUGAUACUCAUACAAUUCAUACCACAAAUAUCAAUCUACAAUCUCCAUCCUAAACAACUACUCUGAUGUCAAACAGUGAGGAUGACCCAUCAGUUAGUUAAAGGAAGGAAAAGAGGAAAUCACAUCUAAGUUACCUCUUCAUUUUCACAUUAAUAAACUGGCACAUAAAUUUUUCCUUUUUUUUUUUGGUCAAGAAAUUUUUCUUUUUUAUAAUGAGGCAAUUAGAUGGUUGCUUAUGAAGGAGCCAAAAGCCACCAUGAAAAAUCAAUUGAAAUAUAUUUAUUUCAUAUUUAGACAUUGAUUGGUACUGACUUUUAUACAUUUUAAUUGAAAUAUUAGGUCAAAUACAAAUACUAGUAAUAUUUUACCACAAAGAUGUAUAUCACUCAAUAUGUAUUUUAAUAAACAAUUAUAUUUCUUUUUUAGUCAUUUAAGGUAAUCAAUAAUUCUAUAGUCAUUUUAUUCCAUACACAGACUAUGGCAAAAACCACUGCUUCACUUGUUCUUGUUCUCUUUGUUGUAGCAAUUCUGAAUAAUUAUAGUGUUGAGAGUAAUAUUCCAGAUUGUUCACAAUGGUAUAACCUGUGUCUUUUUGCUGAUCCUGCCAAUUGUGAUAAGUACUUUGAGAUAUGUUUGAGCAAAAACUUCAAAUUCCCUAGGGAUAUUGAAAAUGGUAAACAUCCUCCUAAAGCUAAAAGCCCUCCCUAAUGAGUGAUUGUUAUCAUGGUUUGUGUGUUAUUGAUAUUUAUAUUUUUCUUGUUUAAAGUAUUAUGAUAUCAAAAUUAUAUAGUUAAAUAACCUUUAUAGGCAUUGCUUAGCUAGAUUGCUGCUAGCUUCUUGGGCAUUACUAUAU
rnacentral:lncRNA from 1 species